rnacentral:ncRNA from 2 species
AUGAACCCGACACACGGUACCGUCGCUCUGAUAUCGACGACGGCAUCACGGAAGCCGGUGGGAAUCCGGCACGGUCGCGCCACUGUGGUCGAUGCGCCCUCUCUCGUCAUGGGGCGCAUCGCGAGUCAGACCCGGGACCGUCGUCCUGUGCAC